rnacentral:rRNA from 1 species
GGCGGACGGGUGAGUAACGCAUAGGAAUCUGCCCGUUAGUGGGGGAUAACCUGGGGAAACCCAGGCUAAUACCGCAUACGUCCUACGGGAGAAAGCAGGGGACCUUCGGGCCUUGCGCUAUCGGAUGAGCCUAUGUCGGAUUAGCUGGUUGGUGAGGUAACGGCUCACCAAGGCGACGAUCCCUAGCUGGUCUGAGAGGACGAUCAGCCACACUGGGACUGAGACACGGCCCAGACUCCUACGGGAGGCAGCAGUGGGGAAUCUUGCGCAAUGCGCGAAAGCGUGACGCAGCAACGCCGCGUGGGGGAAGAAGGCCUUCGGGUUGUAAACCUCUUUCAGUUGGGACGAAGCUUUGGCGGUGAAUAGCCGACCUGAGUGACGGUACCUUCAGAAGAAGCCCCGGCUAACUACGUGCCAGCAGCCGCGGUAAUACGUAGGGGGCAAGCGUUGUCCGGAAUCAUUGGGCGUAAAGCGCGUGUAGGCGGCUCGGUAAGUCUGUUCUGAAAGUCCAGGGCUCAACCCUGGGAUGCGGAUGGAUACUGCCGAGCUCGAGUCCGGAAGAGGCGAGUGGAAUUCCUGGUGUAGCGGUGAAAUGCGCAGAUAUCAGGAGGAACACCAAUGGCGAAGGCAGCU